UACGUAGGGUGCAAGCGUUAAUCGGAAUUACUGGGCGUAAAGCGUGCGCAGGCGGUUUGCUAAGACAGGUGUGAAAUCCCCGGGCUUAACCUGGGAACUGCGCUUGUUACUGGCAGGCUUGAGUGCGGCAGAGGAGACUGGAAUUCCUGGUGUAGCAGUGAAAUGCGUAGAUAUCAGGAGGAACACCGAUGGCGAAGGCAGGUCUCUGGGCUGACACUGACGCUCAUGCACGAAAGCGUGGGGAGCAAACAGG
rnacentral:rRNA from 1 species